rnacentral:snRNA from 1 species
AGCUUUGUGCAGUGGCAGUAUCGUAGCCAAUGAGGUUUAUCCGAGGCGCGAUUAUUGCUAAUUGAAAACUCAAAGUACCUGAUCAGAAAAUCAUUGUGUUAGAGAAGAUCUGAACAUGGAACGUAUUACUUUUGACCUGACGUCUUCAUG